rnacentral:rRNA from 1 species
AAACCAACCGGGAUUGCCUUAUUAACGGCGAGUGAAGCGGCAAAAGCUCAAAUUUGAAAUCUGGUACCUUCGGUGCCCGAGUUGUAAUUUGUAGAGGGCGACUUUGGGGCGGCUCCUUGUCUAUGUUCCUUGGAACAGGACGUCAUAGAGGGUGAGAAUCCCGUGUGGCGAGGAGUGCGGUUCCGUGUAAAGCGCUCUCGAAGAGUCGAGUUGUUUGGGAAUGCAGCUCUAAGUGGGUGGUAAAUUCCAUCUAAAGCUAAAUAUUGGCGAGAGACCGACAGCGAACAAGUACAGUGAUGGAAAGAUGAAAAGAACUUUGAAAAGAGAGUGAAAAAGUACGUGAAAUUGUUGAAAGGGAAGGGCAUUUGAUCAGACAUGGUGUUUUGCGCCCCUCGCUCCUUGUGGGUGGGGGACCCUCGCAGCUCACUGGGCCAGCAUCAGUUUUGGCGGUCGGAUAAAACCAGGGGAACGUAGCUUGCUUCGGGAAGUGUUAUAGCCCUUGGGAAUACGGCCAGCCGGGACUGAGGAACGCGAUUCGUCAAGGAUGCUGGCAUAAUGGUUAUAUGCCGC